UACGGGGGGGGCAAGCGUUGUUCGGAAUUACUGGGCGUAAAGGGCUCGUAGGCGGCCAACUAAGUCAGACGUGAAAUCCCUAGGCUCAACCUAGGAACUGCGUCUGAUACUGGAUGGCUUGAAUCCGGGAGAGGGAUGCAGAAUUCCAGGUGUAGCGGUGAAAUGCGUAGAUAUCUGGAGGAAUACCGGUGGCGAAAGCGGCAUCCUGGACCGGCAUUGACGCUGAGGAGCGAAAGCCAGGGGAGCAAACGGG
rnacentral:rRNA from 1 species